rnacentral:rRNA from 1 species
ACUCCUACGGGAGGCAGCAGUGGGGAAUCUUGCGCAAUGCGCGAAAGCGUGACGCAGCAACGCCGCGUGGGGGAAGACGGCCUUCGGGUUGUAAACCCCUUUCAGUUGGGACGAAGCUCGGUCGGUGAACAGCCGCGCCGGGUGACGGUACCUUCAGAAGAAGCCCCGGCCAACUACGUGCCAGCAGCCGCGGUAAUACGUAGGGGGCAAGCGUUGUCCGGAAUCAUUGGGCGUAAAGAGCG